UACAGAGGUCCCAAGCGUUGUUCGGAUUCACUGGGCGUAAAGGGUGCGUAGGUGGUCGGGUAAGUCUGAUGUGAAAGCUCUGAGCUCAACUCAGAAAUGGCAUUGGAUACUAUUCGGCUAGAGAGUCGGAGGGGGGACUGGAAUCCUCGGUGUAGCAGUGAAAUGCGUAGAUAUCGAGAGGAACACCAGUGGCGAAGGCGAGUCCCUGGACGACUUCUGACACUGAGGCACGAAAGCUAGGGGAGCAAACAGG
rnacentral:misc_RNA from 1 species